rnacentral:lncRNA from 1 species
GGGGGCUGUAUCUUCAGAAAUCCAGAAGUUGCGGUCAUCUUUUAUGUCAUCAUACUGAGGCAUCUUUGGAAGAUGGCUGACGGGUACAGGCAUGAGGAGAAACAAAGUUUGUAAAUUCAGAGAAAUUAAUGGGAGUUGUGAAGACUGAA